rnacentral:rRNA from 1 species
GAAUACCUACGGGGGGCAGCAGUGGGGGAUAUUGCACAAUGGGGGGAACCCUGAUGCAGCGACGCCGCGUGGGUGAAGGAGUGCUUCGGCAUGUAAAGCCCUAUCGGCAGGGAAGAAGCAAGACGGUACCUGACUAAGAAGCCCCGGCUCACUACGUGCCAGCAGCCGCGGUAAUACGUAGGGGGCGAGCGUUAUCCGGAUUCACUGGGGGUAAAGGGGGCGUAGACGGCCAAGCAAGCCAGGGGUG